GCGAACGCUGGCGGCAGGCCUAAAACAUGCAAGUCGAGCGCCGUAGCAAUACGGAGCGGCAGACGGGUGAGUAACACGUGGGAACGUGCCUUUUGGUUCGGAAUAACCCGGGGAAACUCGGACUAAUACCGGAUAAGCCCUUACGGGGAAAGAUUUAUCGCCAAAAGAUCGGCCCGCGUCUGAUUAGCUAGUUGGUGGGGUAACGGCCCACCAAGGCGACGAUCAGUAGCUGGUCUGAGAGGAUGAUCAGCCACACUGGGACUGAGACACGGCCCAGACUCCUACGGGAGGCAGCAGUUAGGAAUCUUGGACAAUGGGCGAAAGCCUGAUCCAGCCAUGCCGCGUGAGUGAUGAAGGCCCUAGGGUUGUAAAGCUCUUUCAGCGGGGAAGAUAAUGACGGUACCCGCAGAAGAAGCCCCGGCUAACUUCGU
rnacentral:rRNA from 1 species